AAUACCAUCUGCCAGCAAUCCCAUUACUGGGUAUAUAUUCAAAGGAUUAUAAGUCAUUCUACUAUAAAGACACAUGCACAUGUAUGUUUAUUGCAGCACUAUUCACAAUAGCAAACACUUAGAACUAACCCAAAUGCCCAUCAAUGAUCGACUAGAUAAAGCAAAUGUGGCACUUAUACACCAUGGAAUACUAUGCAGCCAGAAAAAAGAAUAGGAUCAUGUCUUUUGCAGGGACACGUGUGAAGCUGGAAGCUCAGCAAACUAACACAGGAACAGAAAACCAAACACCACAUGUUCUCACUCAUAAGUGGGAGUUGAACAAUGAGAACACAGGGAGACAGGGAGUAGAACAUCACACACUCGGGCCUGUUGGUGGAUGGGGGGCCAGGGGAGAGAGAACAUUAGGACAAAUACCUAAUGCAUGUGGGGUUUAAAACCUAGAUGACGGGUUGAUAGGUGCAGCAAACCACCUUGGUGCAUGUAUACCUAUGUAAGAAACCUGCAUAUUCUGCACAUGUAUCCCGGUACUUAUAAUAAAAUAAAAAUAAAUUAAUUAAUUAAGAAAAAGAAUCACAGUGGAAUGAGGGGGCCUUAAUUCUUGGAGUUGGGAAAGACAUUAGAAAUAAUCUAGUCUGUGUUCUUCAUUUUAUAAAUGAGGGAACUGAGGCCUGCAAAGGUCCAAUCACUUUUACAAGAUUAUACAUCUAGGUAAUGGCAAAGCUAAAACUCCUCCCUAGGACUCCUGCUCUCUAUUCCAGCACUGUGCACAUUAUACCAUUCAACAUCUUCUGUAGUAGUAAAAAUAUAGGUAUCAUUGCAGAACAUUCCACUUUUGACUGAUACACAUUCAAAUCCCACUAUCCAGUAUGCAUAUACAGCCUUAAAUGAGAGUCUAGUUUAGAACACAGCAACUGGCAAUGUGUUGUUUUCUCAGUUACUUCAAUUUCUCUCUAUGGAGUCUCCAUCUGUCCAGAAAAACAUACGUAUUUUGAUGAAAACCUUAAACUUCUAAGGAAAAAUCACUUGAAGGCUAAUGUUAGAUACAUUUUUAAAAAAGCAAAUAAACUUUUGUCAAUAAGUAAGGAAAAGAAUUAUAGAGUAAGCUCUAUUUAAUUUAAAAUAUUAUUAUAUUUUAGGUCACAAUUUGGCUCCUUAAAAUCUAAAAAGAAAAACAUUUUUAAAACCUAAUAGAAAGAUUUCUGAGAAUUUUAAUGAAAGUUAAAAUGGACUAAAACCAUUAAGCUGUACAGGAAAGUAGAUUUCGCUGCCUGGAUUAAAUUAAGAGCUGCCUUAAAAAUACAUAUUUUGAUAUAUAAAAUAUUUUUUCAGAAUGUUAAAUACAUGUCUAUAAUAACAUUGCUUUAAAAGUGAAACCAAUUAAUUUUGUUUCAAUAUUCAAACUGGGAAAAAUACUAGAACAAAAAAAAGUAAUGAAAUAAAAUACAUAGGUGGUGGCUGAUUUAUGUCUUUUUUAGUCUUUUAGCUAUUUUAUAUGACUUUCAGUUUAAUAAUUUAGCAUAGUAUUACAAGCAAAAAUUAAACUUUCUCUCUGUGUAUCCAAUUUCUUUCUGACCAUGCCACUUCCAUGUGUUCUCUCAGAUAUGAGUUAACAAGACAAAUGAGCAGAGAAACUAUGACUCUCCAUGCUGCAGAAGGAAAAUGCUCCUAGCGAACAUCUGCUUUGGGUAAAGUAAUUUAAUUGCAAAGAUCACGGUGGUAUGUUGAGAUUUAUUUCAAGGGAAGAGCAAGGAAGCAAAAGAGGGCAGUGGGAACCCUUGACACCCUCCUUCCUUAUGGAAUUUUAUCAUCAGCGGUGAAGGGGCCAAGAAAAAUCUGUCUUCUUUGCUUUCCUUUGUAUCAAUUUCCUCUUCUGAAAUAAGGAAGUCUAAACAAAAUAGUCUGGACUUUGAAAUAUUUUAUAUAUGUAUGAAAUAUUUUAUGUAUAUCUUUUUCUGUACACACAUGUGCAAAACAUACACACACACACAUACACACACACACACACACAUAGUCUAGCCCUUGCCAUAUUUAGAUGUGUUCUCUGGACAGUAAAAUCCACCUUAGCUUAUAGAGGCUGCUAAUUUUCCUGAGAUUUCCAAGCCUAUUUAAAUCUAUACAACGAGCGAAUGUCAUUAAAUGAAUCUGUAGGCUCAGGAUAAGUGGUUCACCUAUAUACCUCCAAGACCAACAAUGAAAAGCAUUCUAACCAAGGCUUAUGUUGAGGCAAUGCUCAUUUAGGAAGUAACAUGGACUAGACUGUGAUUUAUGGAGAAAUGGUGGCAUAGAUACAUGUAGACAGAUAGGUAAGUUGAUUGACUGCAGCAGAAAUCUGCUGUUGUACAAUCUGUUCAGAUACUUGGCAUCAUUAGAACAUUUAUGGAAUAAUGUCUAUUGUGUAAGUCAUUACCAUAAUUUUUUAGAGAUAGUGGUUGAGAUAGUAAAUAUUCAGAAUUUAGGGCAUUCAUCGGAUCUACUAAGACGGACAGGCAGGGAGCACACAGUGGUGUUAUAGAUGUCAGUAGGUUCCUAGGGUGCCCAGGUUAGGUCUUCUCUUUCUCUUCAACAAUUCCAGUUGCCUUUCAGAUACAUACACGAACUAAGAACAACCCUUUCCACUUAGAGAAGUGGAAGGAAGCAAGGAGAGUCUUAUGAUACCAUUUUGAAUGAAAUAAAAAACGUGGACUCCAUGACAAGUCAAGCAGAUUCAAAACAUGCAAAUGAAUAGAUUGAAGUAGAUGCUAAGUGACAUCUCCCAAAACAUACUUCAAGGCUGACCAGUGAGUUGUGAGGCUCAUCCGUGGAGGCUCAAAAUGGAUCUUAACAUGCAAGUCCUUUCCUUCAUUCCUACAUGUGGGUGGUCUGAAUGUUCUUGGACCACUUCUAUGUUCUUGUAUCAUUGGAGGUCACUCAAUAAAACUGAAGUGCAUUGUUGAUAGUUGCUAACAUUUGGUAUGCAUAAACUAAAAUUAGCAUGAUACUUAAGUUUGCUAAAGACUUUAAUUCCAUAAUCCUAAUAGAUUUCCAGUGAUUGAACAAUAUUAUACAUCUCCUCUUGUACAGGAGCUAAUGAAUGGUAAAAGUAAAGACCAGAAGCAUUUCUCACACUAGCACAGUGCUCUUAAUAGUCCAUUCAGCUAAAUAAUAGGUUGGAUCACAAAAAAAGAGACUUUUACAUACCUUCAUAGUCCAGAAUAGGAGGUCAAAUCUAAGAAGAGGAAACUUGCAUAGGAGUAGAAAUUGUACACUUUUAGACUUCAUUUUGAAAUGCCAGAUGCAAAGUACAGGAUUAGAGAGUCUUUGCUUUAUAUAUAUUCGUGAUAAACAACAUCACAUUUCAGUAAGAACGUUGAUGAACUUGACUUUGUGCAGGGAAGGAUGAAUGGUCUGGGAAACAUACAGUUGAAAGAACUGAAUAUGGAGAAAGGAUUUAGAGUAAGUAGUUGUCAGAUGGAAAACUGAUUCAUUAUUCUGUAGGGUUCUGUGGCUUCAUUUGUGAAAAUACAGAAAAGAGAUGUGUUAGACAAUUCCAUAAAAGGGGAUGCUUUCUUCUGCAUCUCAGUUUCCUACUCUGAAAGAGGAUAAUUUUAUUAAUCCUUGGGCCAGAAACAAUGAGGGAACAUCUACUUAGCAUCUAAAAUCUUUAUAACAUGUAGGGAAUGAUGUGCUUUUCCCAGUUCCCCUGUUUGAAUGAGGGACUAGUUUUCCUAAUUACUGGAAGUGCUUGCCGACUGACAGCUCUCAGGUAUCACAAGGCUGUGGAGUGGUACAUCCAGAAUCAGACACACAUAAGGCUGGGACACACAAAUAAGCUGCAGGUAGUCCAGAUAUUAGAAACCCCCUGAUACCUAUCAUUGAUGCCCCAGUGCCUCUUUCUCCACUUAUUCCUGUUAUAAUAUCAAGGACACUCACUUUAUAGCGAAGGAAAUGAAGCAGUGGGCAGAGGUCCAUGGAAUCUAGGGCUAGUGUCCCAUAUCACAGCCCCAGAAGCUGCAGGGCUGACCAACCUAAUCAUUUAGGAUGCUGCGUACUCUCUAAAUUGAUAGCUUUAUGAUGUUGUGCCCCUAGUGGGAUAGAAUGAAUGGGCUUGAGAACCAACAUUCUUUCGUCCUCUUGGAGAAAGUUUGCUUCCCUUCCCCAAAUCUCUGGGGUUCUGUGCAUUUAAAUGUCUUGGUUCCCAAAAAGGGAGUGUUUCUAGCACGUGGCCCAGUAUGCAUCCCACUGAACCUAAAGCUACACUGCUACCUACACACUUCAGAAUCCUCAGGCCAAGGUGCCAGCAGGCAAGAUGAAGAGUUACCAUCAUGGCAGACAUAACUGACCAUGAUCAUCAGAGGGAGGCACAGGUGAUGACAUACAACAGGGGCAGGGAGGAAUGUGCUUGGCAAGCAGGUGAUCCAUUUGGGCAUCCCUUGCCCAAUUUUGAUGGCAAAUGGAUGUGUGCUGCCACCUGAGAAGAUUAGCUUGCAGGGCCCUUGGUUAGGGAUCUUUGGGCAUAGUGAGCCAUCUCUUUAAAGAAAAAUGAGGUACUAUCUUUAAGAGAACUGAAGUUACCUGGACCAAAUCACAGCAUGGCUUAUCUGCUUCCUCCCUCCCUCAAAGGUAAAAUCCUCUCUGAGACACAGAAGUAUCUGGUUAAAUUUUAUCUCAAGAUAGCCUACUUGGGACAACAUGCAUUUACCUGCUGUGGUAGACAGAAUAAUGCUUCCUGGAAGAUGUCCAUGUCCUUCUUCCUAGAACCUGUGAAUAUGUUAACUUAUAUGGCAACAGGCAUUCUGCAGAUGUGAUUAACAACCUUAAGAUGGAGAAGCUAUCCUGGGUUAUCCAAGCAGGCCCAAUGUAAUCACAAGGGUCCUGGUAGGAGGUCAGAAGAGUCAGUGAUGUGACAAUAGACACAGGUCAGAGUUAUGUGGCCAUGAGCCAAGGAGUGUCGGCUGCCUCUAGAAGCUGGAAAAGGCAAGGAACAGACUCUCUCUUGAAGCUUCCAGAAGAAACUGGCUGUGCAAAUACUCCAUAGGACUCAUUUUGGCCUUCUUAUCUCCAGAGCCUUUAUAAAAGACUCACAAUCGGCCGGGCGCGGUGGCUCACGCCUGUAAUCCCCUUCAGCUUCUCCCUUGCAGGUCUGGGGUCCUAAAACAUUGCACGACUGUGUUUUCCUCCAGCUCAGGCUUCU
rnacentral:lncRNA from 1 species